CCUACGGGAGGCAGCAGUGGGGAAUAUUGCACAAUGGGGGGAACCCUGAUGCAGCGACGCCGCGUGGGUGAAGGAGUAUUUCGGUAUGUAAAGCCCUAUCAGCAGGGAAGAACAAUGACGGUACCUGACUAAGAAGCAUCGGCUAAAUACGUGCCAGCAGCCGCGGUAAUACGUAUGGUGCAAGCGUUAUCCGGAUUUACUGGGUGUAAAGGGAGCGCAGGCGGCGCGUUAAGCCUGGUGUGAAAGUCCGCGGCCCAACCGCGGGACUGCAUUGGGAACUGGCGCGCUGGAGUGCCGGAGGGGUAGGCGGAAGUCCUAGUGUAGCGGUGAAAUGCGUAGAUAUUAGGAGGAACACCAGUGGCGAAGGCGGCCUACUGGACGGUGACUGACGCUGAGGCUCGAAAGCGUGGGGAGCAAACAGGAUUAGAUACCCCUGUAGUC
rnacentral:rRNA from 1 species